GAUGAACGCUGGCGGCGUGCCUAAUACAUGCAAGUCGAGCGAACAGACGAGGAGCUUGCUCCUCUGACGUUAGCGGCGGACGGGUGAGUAACACGUGGAUAACCUACCUAUAAGACUGGGAUAACUUCGGGAAACCGGAGCUAAUACCGGAUAAUAUAUUGAACCGCAUGGUUCAAUAGUGAAAGACGGUUUUGCUGUCACUUAUAGAUGGAUCCGCGCCGCAUUAGCUAGUUGGUAAGGUAACGGCUUACCAAGGCAACGAUGCGUAGCCGACCUGAGAGUGGGAUGGGGCAGACUGGAACUGAGGCACGGUGCAGAGUGUGACGGGAGGCAGCAGGAUGGAAGUGUACGCAGGGGUUGCAAACCGGAUAGAACAAUGAGGAGGGAGAGAGAAAGGUGUUAUGAACCGAAAACUGUGAGACGACAGAAAAACAAAAAGCCAAGGAAAGAGGCGCGGCGGGACGGGCCCUAAGAAGAGAACAACGGCGAACUACGUG
rnacentral:rRNA from 1 species